ACGAGUAACAAAUAUAUCAAAAGUAUAUAUAUUUAUAUAUAUAUAUAUAUAAAUGUACCUUUGUAAACUUUACCAAAGCAACCUUCGCCGAUAUCAUGUAGAAAUACUAGAUUUUCACGUUGUAAAAUUAAUACCUCCGGCGAGGUACAACUAAAGUAUUGAGGAUUAGGCGUGUAUUUGUUUGCUAAUAGUAAUCCCUUUUUUAGAUUCAUCGGAGACGCCUAGAAAAAAUAGGAAAAUGAGAAAAUGCAAGAUGUUUUAACAAUAUUGAAAAUAUUCAAUAUCAUCCUGCUUACAUCCAAUGAAUUCCUCUGCGACUUUACACCAUAACUUCGUCUUCUCACACAAUAAACUAUACUCAAGAGGAUAACUAGCACUGCGAUGAAGGCUAUCGCAAUUCCAACUAUUUCAGGUACUUUAUGCCUCGAACGUUCAACCUGCAUAAUAACAUUGUAAUACUAUCCAUUAUGCGUGCGGUAAGAAGUAAAAAUAUUUAUUAAGAAUCAAGAUAUGUUAAAGAGAAUUGAUCGAAGAAUUAAUACCUGUUCUGCUUCUGGUAGAGCAGUGGUACUGUUCGUGCCAUUACCACUUGGUGGUAUUAUAUUGUGUAUGGGUCGUGGAGUUAAAGGGACUAAGAGAAACAAGAAAAUAAAAAUGAAGAAAAAUAUUUGGACAAUUUUAAUUUUGAAAAAAAAGAAAGAAAUAAACUAAUCUCACCGGUCAAACGAUUCGGACAUUUGAGGUCUGACGUAGGUGGGGAGGAAUCAUGAGGACAAACGCAUUGCGAGGUGUUGUCACGGAAGCUACGACAAGCAGCCUCCUUUCCACAGAUGGUAGGCUGAUCUUUGCAUCCACUGAUUACGGUAGCACCAUCGGUUGCCGGGAACUCAUUUAUCGUUUCCAAUUGCUGACUCGUCGAUGAUGUUACCACUGAUGGUUCUAGAACAGUUACUUCAUUCUUAGAAAGUACGAGAGAACGUUCAAGUUUCUGCGUUCGUCUAUCUCAAUGGGAUCAUCAAGUUAAGGAUUAUUAUAGCAUAAAAUAUAAUCAUAUAUUUGAAAAGUAACUCAAUAAAUUCGAAUGUGAGUAAGUUCGCUUGAGAUUGAAGAGCCGAUCGAUGAUGGAAGAGUUUAACUAAAGACUUAGGUAAAAGGAUUAGCAGAAUAAAUUUCAUGAGACGGGCGACUUCAGCUCGAAGAAGUUGUCCGUUGCAGUCGGUGAAUUCGCAAAGACAUGGACGAAGGAACGGUAAAGGGCAUUGAGAGAAGGAAAAAGGGCUGCAUAUUUGGAUUGGGCCUGAGAAGAUAGAUACAGUGAAGGCAUUCAUUUGGUGCUUCGAGCUUGUAACGGGUCAAAGCGUUAUCUCUGCGGUCAGCGCUCCCCGACAACGAGUCUCGCUAUGAGUACCUAUUAUCGUCCCGUAUUCCUUUCCUUACAAAGCAUCUCCGUAGUACGUGGCAUCGGACUCUUUUUCCGAAAGAUCAGUUACCGUUCCCGAAAAGACGAUCCACGGCAUUUUCAGGAUAAAAUGAGUUAAGCCCAUCUCGACCUGCAAGGGAGUUAGGAAUGGAGGAAAAAAAUGAUCGCCAAGGUCAAAAGGGUUAUACUCUAUUUCUACCUUCUAUAUCUCGAACGUUUUUUUUUUCUCUCGAAGAUCUCUCAAAACAUUUUUUACUGAUAACGAAGAUAAAAAUAUUAAGCUAAUAAAUAAAACGUCCUCUAUGUAACAUAUAUAACAUAUAUAUAUGUAUGUUAAAAAUUCAUCGUGGAAUGCGAGAGUUCGACGAGACCUCUUAUCGCACUUUCUAAUCUUAACGUAUGAAGGUCGCGCGAACGCUACUGAUACCAAAACAUUAUAUCGACUUAAUUAGAAGUAUAAAGUAUACUGUCUAAUCAAUCAAGUUGUGUCCUCCGUAGUAGCAAGAUCGUACCGGUAACAGGCGAGAAGAAAAAGAGGAGGAGGAGAAGGAGGAAAAAUGGCACGCCGAUCAACACAAAACCAACCACUAUUAUUAUUUGAUUGAGUUGGAUUUUCGGAGGAUAAAAAUUGAUUUCAAGAUAAUACUUGACUAUUCUUGGAGUAAACACUACGUGAAAUGUAUCUCACUGGCGAACGGAAGUCCGAGGAUGCUCUUGAACAAGGAUAAAAGAACAUACGAAUCGCCGGCUGGGUGGUAGACGA